AUGAAACCAAACGCAUUGGUCUUUGUCGUUGUAGCUAGGUGCUUACUCUAUAAUAGAAGCCUCUUAAUGGAUGGAGUAGUUAGCACAUCUUGUUUGAGGCCAAUUAAAAAGAUUGGUAGGGUUCUUUGUCCAUUACAUGGAAUCAUAUCUAUAAGCUAUGGGUCCCAAGUUCUAAAGAUUUCUCUUCUUCCUAAGAUUCAAUCACUAGCAUCAAUAUUAUAUAGUUAUAUAUAUAUUACAGGAAAAUCAGAAGCUUGA